AACGAACGCUGGCGGCGUGCUUAACACAUGCAAGUCGAACGAGAAAUUCCCCGCUUGCGGGGGGAGAGUAAAGUGGCGCACGGGUGAGUAGCGCGUGGGUAACCUACCCCUGAAUUCGGGAUAACUUCGCGAAAGCGUUGCUAAUACCGGAUAUUGUCAUCUUAGCUAUGGCUGAGAUGAUGAAAGGUGACCUCUUCAUGAAAGUUGCCGUUUAGGGACGGGCCCGCGUACCAUUAGCUUGUUGGUGAGGUAACGGCCCACCAAGGCUAUGAUGGUUAGCUGGUCUGAGAGGAUGAUCAGCCACACUGGAACUGGAACACGGUCCAGACUCCUACGGGAGGCAG
rnacentral:rRNA from 1 species